CCGGAUCUCAGAUCAAGCAAGAUGACC
rnacentral:rRNA from 1 species